CGCAGCCAGUGAUUCAGGUGUCUCCCUUAAAGGGGUACAUCCAUUUUCACCCCGGCAGCCCCCUGACAUGAGCAUCGGAGCAGUUCAUGCUCCGAUGCUCUCCUUUGCCCUACGCUAAAUUGCGCAGGGCAAAGGCAUUUUUAGGAGAUCC